rnacentral:rRNA from 1 species
UCAUCUCCGGGGGUAGAGCACUGUUUCGGCUAGGGGGCCAUCCCGGCUUACCAACCCGAUGCAAACUGCGAAUACCGGAGAAUGUUAUCACGGGAGACACACGGCGGGUGCUAACGUCCGUCGUGAAGAGGGAAACAACCCAGACCGCCAGCUAAGGUCCCAAAGUCAUGGUUAAGUGGGAAACGAUGUGGGAAGGCACAGACAGCCAGGAUGUUGGCUUAGAAGCAGCCAUCAUUUAAAGAAAGCGUAAUAGCUCACUGGUCGAGUCGGCCUGCGCGGAAGAUGUAACGGGGCUAAACCAUGCACCGAAGCUGCGGCAGCGACACUAUGUGUUGUUGGGUAGGGGAGCGUUCUGUAAGCCUGCGAAGGUGGCCUGUGAGGGCUGCUGGAGGUAUCAGAAGUGCGAAUGCUGACAUAAGUAACGAUAAAGCGGGUGAAAAGCCCGCUCGCCGGAAGACCAAGGGUUCCUGUCCAACGUUAAUCGGGGCAGGGUGAGUCGACCCCUAAGGCGAGGCCGAAAGGCGUAGUCGAUGGGAAACAGGUUAAUAUUCCUGUACUCGGUGUUACUGCGAAGGGGGGACGGAGAAGGCUAUGUUGGCCGGGCGACGGUUGUCCCGGUUUAAGCGUGUAGGCGUGUGUUCCAGGUAAAUCCGGUUCACUUUAACGCUGAGGCGUGAUGACGAGGCACUACGGUGCUGAAGUAACAAAUGCCCUGCUUCCAGGAAAAGCCUCUAAGCAUCAGGUAACAUCAAAUCGUACCCCAAACCGACACAGGUGGUCAGGUAGAGAAUACCAAGGCGCUUGAGAGAACUCGGGUGAAGGAACUAGGCAAAAUGGUGCCGUAACUUCGGGAGAAGGCACGCUGGUGUGUAGGUGAAGCGACUUGCUCGCGGAGCUGAAACCAGUCGAAGAUACCAGCUGGCUGCAACUGUUUAUUAAAAACACAGCACUGUGCAAACACGAAAGUGGACGUAUACGGUGUGACGCCUGCCCGGUGCCGGAAGGUUAAUUGAUGGGGUUAUCCG